UGAGAUUUGCGGAAUCAAACCCGAAAAUUCGAAGCCAAAAUCCAUCUAUCCUAAACCCUCAUCUCACAAAUCAAAACCCAUCUUUCAUAAAUCAAAUCCAGUCAUUGAUAAUCCCAAUUUCGUUUCAAACCUUAGAUUCAUUUGGAAACCAAAAUCCAUCUAUCCUAAAUCCUCAUCUCACAAAUCGAAAUCCAUCUUUCAUAAAUUAAACCCAGUCAUUGAUAAUCCCAAUUUCGUUUCGACCCUAGAUUCCGUAUGUGAUUUCUCCGUCAGAAACCCUAAUAAACUAUUUUCUCAAUUUUUAUGAAUUUGAGCUUUGAGUUUCGCUAGCUACUGUAUAUCUUCACAUCUGUUUUUAUUGAUUUUAUAGGGUUUAUUUUUUUUCAGUAUUUAUUACGGAAUUUAUAAGUAGACAGAAUCAUUUAGGUUUAAGAUUUAUAGGUUUCUUUUUCGUUUGGGUGCUGUUUUGGUUUCUCUUCGGAGAAUCCGAGCGAAGAUCUAUAAUUCGGGGUGUUUGUAUUGGGUUGAUAUGGUUUUUGGGUUUCUAUUGUUGUUCCGUGAAGUUAUUGAAUCAUAUAUUCAGUUUAGUGUUGACCACUUUAGAAGAUUCAUUAGGACUUGUGCAAUCCUGAGAAGGUGGUAUCCUGUUAAUUUCAAGUUUAUUUCUACUUUUUCAUGUAUAUGAAAACAUAAUCAUUCCUUUUAUGGCUUUCCCUUUAUGGAUUGCAGGUGGAGUUAUGAAGGAACAAACUUUGUACACUCUUUACUUAGUUGUACCCACUUGUGUCACAGCUACUGAAGCUUAGGAGAAGAUCAAAUGAGAUAUGGUUUAUGGUGAUGAUGAUGAUAACUCUGAGGUGGCUAGCUCAAAGGUUUUGUUGUGGACAAUGAUGCUGGAUCUUGUUUAUGCAUGGACGGGCAGCUAAAAGGCGUACCUCAUACUCAUGUUGUUGCAUUUCUAGGCCAUUGUAGGUCGCAGAUGGAAUAAGUAUUGCAGUGCAUCACAACAUCCUAUGGCAUUCAGAAGUUCAGGACCAUAUAUGAAGGAAUUAAUAUGCCUUCACUUAGACAGAAAAUAUUCGACAUGAGAGAAGAAGUACUAGCAGAUCUUUAGGUUUUAUAGCUAAAGCCGGUGAAAGCUUCGUUAAACUCAACAACUUUGGUAGAUAAUGAUUAAUGGGAUUGAGAUGAUCAGUGCAAGUUCUUAUGGGAUUCCCUCAAUUGACCGUGACAUAACAUGAUGGGUCUGAAGAAUCUGUCAUGAAACGUACUACUCUAAAAUCUAACACUAACAUGCCCGUGGCUGCUUGAGAGGCCUCUAUUUAUACAGGAUCAUUUUAUUUUAAUUGUCUCCGAAUUUUUGUUUAAACUUGGAAGUACGCACAAGAGCAAGCUGCAGUUACAGCAUCCUCUAGAAAUGGUUGUGCACUCUAUCAAUAACUUGUGCCACUGCUGAGUCUUUCAAAACAUCGCAGACAGCAUUUCUUAAAGAUCAGCAGGUCAGCUCCUUUUUUAUGGAGAAACUUCUUAAGAUUGUACGUUGAUAUUACUCAAUACUUUAAGAUGAAUAAAUCACAGAAUGGCGGGAGAAAAUCUCAUGAAUUACCUCAUGUCGCUGGCUGCAUCUCACAUACAGGAGAUGCUGCAUUAGAGUUCAUUAAGCGUGGUUGUGCUGUUUGUGCACUUGACAGUGGUGUUCAACAUAAUGUUCUGCUUUAUUUGCGGAUGAGCGGCGAUGUGCUGUACUACACCACCGUUUUGGAAGCUCUACAACUGUGAAGGAUGGAGAAUGCACUCAUAACACACGUUGGGUUUAUGGUUAUUGCAUAUUCUUCUUAUUUGGAUCUGUACUUUAUCUUUUGGACAGUUCUUGGAUUGAUUGAAAAAAGAAGUAAACUUCUGAAGUGUGAUCUUGAGUAAGUUUGAACUUGUAUCUACAAUGGUAUAUGUGGUAUAUGAAAGUGCAGAACUCGGCCGGAAUUAUCGUCAGAAUUUAUUUUUUUCACCUUAAUUUUGCAACGUAUAUAGU